rnacentral:misc_RNA from 1 species
GAUGAAGAACGUAGCGAAAUGCGAUAAGUAAUGUGAAUUGCAGAGUUCAGUGAAUCAUCGAAUCUUUGAACGCACAUUGCGCCCGUUAGUAUUCUGACGGGCAUGCCUGUCCGAGCGUCAUUACAACCCUCAAGCUCAGCUUGGUGUUGGGCCCCGCCGCCCCGGCGGGCCCUAAAGUCAGUGGCGGUGCCGUCCGGCUCCGAGCGUAGUAAUUCUUCUCGCUCUGGAGGUCCGGUCGUGUGCUCGCCAGCAACCCCCAAUUUUUUCAGGUUGACCUCGGAUCAGGUAGGGAUACCCGCUGAACUUAAGCAUAUCAAUAAGCGGAGGA